AUUGUGUUAUCUUUUUGGUGUGUGUUACCUUUUCGUAUAAUCCACAGAUGGUGCCUGCCCCAUAAAAACCCGUCUCCCAUUUUUCUUUCUAGCUUCCCACUUCUUAUCGAGAGAAAUCUUUCACUAUUCUUAAUAUAUAAACUGUUUAUUUAAAAGAGCAUUUCAUUUAGAGAAAUGAAAAAAAAAAAAAAAAGAGAGGCAAUUCUCAGAAAACGUAAAAGAAAAAGUGAAACAUGUGAUGUGAUGAUCAGGUAGGGGCGCAGAACAUAACAUAACGUCUCAAGACAAAAUGUUUUCGGAAUAUUCAUUUGUCCA